AGUGCUCACUGAAAAUCUAUCAAGAAGAGUCCCUAACUGGGCCCUAUGACUGGAGCUGAAGGGGUAGACUUAAAGAACAGUCUCUUUGAUAUGCACAGACACGUUUGGAUUCCAUCCUGUUAGACAAGCUGCAUACAGCAGAAUGACCAACAGUGAGAGAGAGAGACCAGGGAAACCGCUCAGGUACAGUCUGAAUUGCAUGGACACACAUCAGUUGCACAGCUGGAGCAAACAGCUGGGAAGCCUGUCUGGGGACACACCUGCCUGAGGUGGCUGGGGAGCCAAGGAUGAGGAGUGGUCAUGCUUUGCAGCCCAGGCGCCUCCUGAGAAUGACAGCCCCUGAGUCAGAUCCACCCUGAGAGGAACCCAGUGCCUGCCAGAGGCCCUUGCAGUUUUGCCUUUGCUGUAAAGAUGAAAAUGAUGAGAAAUAAAGUCUUCCAGAAGAUCCGGUCCAUAUGCUGCUGCCCGCCAUGGCUGGAGUCUCGGAUUCAACCAUUGUGUUGGCUGCCUGCUGCCCAGACUGAAUGGGGUGAACUCAGGACAGAACCUUGCUUUGGCAUGAAUCCCUCUGCCUUCUCUUGCUGACACAUUCCCUCCACCACUCAAGAAUGCACAGAGCCCUUGCCAGGUUGAGAAUGCCUGACUGUGACAGCAGCGUUUGCAAAGUAAAGAGCCUAUUU